rnacentral:tRNA from 1 species
GCACCAUAUGCUAUGGAAUUAAAAAAUCGAUUUAGAAUCGAUCAUGAAGUUGAACAAGUUACCUUAAUUGUGCAACGCAAUUACGGCUCA